rnacentral:lncRNA from 1 species
GUAUUAAAAAUAUUGAAAAAAAUAAAAGCAAGACAAAAACAAAUUAUAAAAUUGAAUGAGCUAAAUAAUAAAGAAAAAUACAUGAAAAGGAAAAAAAUGUAAAAUAAAAAGUAAACACAAAGAAAAGAGCAAAAGGAAAAAACUGAAAUGAAAAAGAAGAGAAAAAGCAAGAUUGGGAAAGAGAAAAAAAAAUUGAAAACAUAAUAGCAUAUUGCGUUUGAAAUGUCCAAUGUAUUGGGGAUUGUGG